GAAUAAGCACCGGCUAACUCGUGCAGCAGCGCGUAUACGGAGGGUGCAAGCGUACUCGAUCACUGGGCGUAAACGACGCGUAGCGAUAUCAAGUCUUUUGUGAAAUCUAGUGGCUUAACCACUAAACUGCUUAGGAAACUGAUAGUCUAGAGUAGGGGAGAGGUAGAUGGAAUUCUUGGUGUAGGGGUAAAAUCCGUAGAGAUCAAGAAGAAUACCCAUUGCGAAAGCGAUCUGCUGGAACCUAACUGACGCUGAGGCGUGAAAGCGUGGGUAGCAAACAGGAUUAGAUACCCUGGUAGUCCACGCCCUAAACGAUGUAUACUAGUUGUUGCUUUGCUAGUCAAGGCAGUAAUGCAGCUAACGCAUUAAGUAUACCGCCUGGGGAGUACGGUCGCAAGAUUAAAACUCAAAGGAAUAGACGGGGACCCGCACAAGCGGUGGAGUAUGUGGUUUAAUUCGAUGCAACGCGAAGAACCUUACCAGGGUUUGACAUCCUGCGAAUCUCUUGGAAACGAGAGAGUGCCUUCGGGAGCGCAGUGACAGGUGGUGCAUGGCUGUCGUCAGCUCGUGUCGUGAGAUGUUGGGUUAAGUCCCGCAACGAGCGCAACCCACGUCUUUAGUUGCCAGCAUUCAGUUGGGCACUCUAGAGAGACCGCCGGUGAUAAACCGGAGGAAGGUGUGGAUGACGUCAAGUCAUCAUGCCCCUUACAUCCUGGGCUACACACGUACUACAAUGCUACGGACAAAGGGCAGCAAGUUCGCGAGGACAAGCAAAUCCCAUAAACCGUGGCUCAGUUCAGAUCGUAGGCUGCAACUCGCCUACGUGAAGGAGGAAUCGCUAGUAAUCGCAGGUCAGCAUACUGCGGUGAAUACGUUCCCGGGCCUUGUACACACCGCCCGUCACACCAUGGAAGUUGGCCACGCCCGAAGCCGUUACUCCAACCCUUGUGGA
rnacentral:rRNA from 1 species